GUCGAACGCUGGCGGCGUGCUUAACACAUGCAAGUCGAACGAAGUGGCGAACGGGUGAGUAACGCGUAAUCAACCUGCCCUUCAGAGGGGGACAACAGUUGGAAACGACUGCUAAUACCGCAUAAUGAAGGAGGGGAUUGCGUCGGAUUAGCUAGUUGGAGGGGUAACGGCCCACCAAGGCGAUGAUCAGUAGCCGGGCCUGGAGGAGGGACGGCACAAGUGGGACUGGGACACGGCCCAGACGCCUACGGGAGGCAGCAGGGGGGAAUCUUCCGAAAUGGACGAAAGUCUGACGGAGCAAAGCCGGGUGAGUGAUGACGGCCUUCGGGUUGUAAAGCUCUGUUAAUCGGGACGCGGUACCGGAAUAGAAAGCCACGGCUAACUACGUGCCAGCAGCCGCGGUAAUAC
rnacentral:rRNA from 1 species